UUUUUUGUGGGUUGUCCCCCGGGGGAGGGGUCAUU
rnacentral:rRNA from 1 species